rnacentral:lncRNA from 1 species
GCCAUAAAACUGGAAACAACUCAACGAAUGGUGAAUCAAUAACGUGUAGCACAUUCAUACAAUGAAAUACUACUCAGCAACAAAAGGAAAUGAGCUACUGAUACCCACAACAGCAUAGAUAAGUUUCAAAAUAAUUAUGCUGAGUGAAAGAAGCCGGACAACAACAAAGAGUAGAUACUGUAUGAUUCCAUUUAUAUGAAAUUCUAGGAAAUGCAAAGUAAUAUAUAAUGACAAAAGCAGAGGGGCGAAGGAGGAAUUUAAAAAGGGCAGAAGGAAACUUUUUGGGAUCAUGGAUAAGUUCGUCAUCUUGAUUGUGGUGAUGAUUUCACAGGUAUAUACAUACGUUGAAACUUCAAAUUGCACACUUUAAAUUUGCCCAGUUUAUUGUAUGUCAGUUAUAUCCCAAUAAAGCUGUAGAACAGCAACAACAAAGAGAUGGCUAGGCAAGCAUAUUACAGUAGUUGAAGUUUGACGUUAGAAAUUCACUGAAUCUUCUCUGAAGUCAUUGUCCUCUGACAGUUGUCUGCAGGUUUCAAGCUAUCCACCUACACAGAAUGUGCAAUCUGCUGGGCUUCAAAAGCACACAUUGAGGCAGAUGGCCAACAGCUGACAAUUCACUUAAUUUCUCUUUUUAAAUAGUUAUAUACUUGAAAAAGGAUCGAGUUUGAAUUAAAUCCUCACAGAAAAUUUCUAUCACAGCAUGGGAUUCACUUCAAUAAAGCAUCUUCCCACUGUCAUAAAUCUGCUUGUGUUCUUUUGGCAAAAUUUUCUUCCCACUCAACCUGGCUUUGUUAUCUUGUCAAGCCAGACAAAAAUUCACCUCCUGUAUAAAGCCGUCUCUGAUCAUCUGCCUUUUUAAAUUUUUUAAUUUUUUAAUUUUUCUUUUUUGAGAUGGAGUCUCACUCUGCCACCCAGGUUGGAUGGAGUGCAGUGGUGCAAUCUCGGCUCACUGCAACCUCCGCCUCCCUGGUUCAAGUGAUCCUCCUUCCUCAGCCUCCUGAGUAGCUGGGAUGACAGGCGCACCACCACACCCAGCUAAUUCUUUGUAUUUUCAUUAGAGAUGGAGUUUUACAAUGUCGACCAGACUGAUCUCAAACUCCCGACCUCAAGUGAUCCACCAGCCUUGGCCUCCCAAAGUGCUGGGAUUAACAGGCAUGAGCCACCGUGACCGGCCUCAUCUGCCUUUUAGCACCAUAGAGAGGUGCCAUUAACCACCUGGUUUAUAUUGCCAGCAUGUAGGGGCUGUAAUAUGGUACCCCAGCCCCACCUCCCUACCCCAUCAUUAUUUUUUCUUAAAGAAAAUAAGCUUGCCACUUAGAAUUUAAACUUUACAAUUAAGAUAAACUGAUUUAGAGAAUAAAUGUAGACACUUGAAACAGUCACAAGGAUCCCCAAACCAGAUUAUAAUCUGACUGAAAAUAUUAGCAUAUCAGAGAUAGAAAAAGAGAUGUACCUAAGAUGGGAGGACAAUCAUCAGUGGACACUUACUGUCCAGGAAAAAAGAACCUAUGUGUACACCUUGAUGCUCUGAAGCUAUCAAAUUAUUUGAAAUUUAGAAUCCACUAAUUAAUUCCUCUUGCUCUAGAUUCAAGUUUCAAAAACAACCUUUUGGCUGUAAUUUGGCUCCCAAAUGUGGCACAUAUACCAAGAGAUAUUUUGCUGGGAUCAUAAAAGAGAGUUAACAUCUUAGUUCCCUAAGAUGUUAAAAUUCUCAUUAUAAAUUAGUAAUUUGUUAUUCUGGGUUUAUAUAGUAGUCCUGUGAUUUAUCAGUUUAAGAAACAGACUAGGCUGGGUGCAGUGGCUCAUGCCUAUAGUCUCAGCACUUUGGGAGGGUGGGGUGGUAGGAUUGCCUGAAGCCAGGAGUUUGAGACCAGCCUAGGCAACAUAGCAAGACUCCAUCUCUACACAAAAUAAUUUUUUAAAAGUAGCCGGAAAUGGUGGUACACAACUGUGAUCUCAGCUACUUGGGAGGCCAAGGCAAGAGGAUCCCUUGAGCCCAGGAGUUGGAGACUGCAGGGAGCUAUGAUUGCACCACUUCACUCCAACCUAGGCAACACAGUGAGACUCCAUCUCUGAAAAAAAAAAAAAAAAAGAAAGAAAGAAAAAGAAAAGAAACAGACUUAACAAGUUAAAGACCAGAUUUCAACAUAUUUUCCAAGAUAAUGCCACUUUCUAUGGCCUGUUAGGGAAGUCAGCUUUCCUUGGAGAGAGAGAGAGAGAGAGAUAGAGAUGUCUACAGUUCAUCUUUCUGUUACAGCACUUACUCCAUACUCCAGUUACUGAAGCAUAUUAUAGAACUACAGAUUCUGAGUUACUUGAGGGUAGUUUUGUAUCCAGUUUGUGCUGGCCUCCACCAUCAUUGCUCAAUAAGUAACACUGAACUGAACUGAAUUUGGAUAACAUGCAAAGCUGCUUUUUUACAUUUUUUAGUUGAUUGGGAGUUAGAAAAUCGUACCAAAAACACCACUCCCCAAGUAUAACCUCUAAUACGCUAACAUUCAUUAAACCUCUAACACUAUAGCUAAAGUUGUUACAUUUUUUAAAGUACGCUAAACUGGGGAAUUGAUUUUUAAAUGAAGGGCAAAGUAGCACUAACCUCAGUCAAGUUACUGUAAGUGUUUCAUUUGGGAAUUGUGAAAUUUUUUAAAAACAUUUCAAGACUUAUCAUUACAUCAACGAAGAUGAAUAUAGGUGUAGUUUGUCAGAUGAGUAACUAUUAAGGAAACCAUGAAUGUUUGCUAUCUACUUUCACAAUUAAACCACAAUUUAGAGGAUCAAAUUCUAACCCUACAAACUUUUUUUUAACCAAAGACAGGGAGAAAAAUCAUACUCUUGUGAUAAGGAGUCAUAAUUCAUUUUAAAUUCUGCAGGAUUAAUGCUGCUUUCCAGAUAAGAAUAAUUCACCCCGUGUGCGUAAAGUGAUUAAGGAGCCUUGGAAUUAUAAAUACACAUUCAGAUUAAUUUUUUUGUUCUAAGCUUUAAAUAAAAU